GCCAGGUGCAGUGGUGGACACCUGUAAUCCCAGCAUCUUGGGAGGCUGAGACAGGAGGAUCGAGAGUUCAAAGCGAGCCUCAGCAAAAAUCAAGGUGCUAAGCAACUCAGUGAGAACCUGUCUCUA
rnacentral:sRNA from 1 species